AACGUAGGAGACAAACGUUAUCCGGAGUUACUGGGCGUAAAGGGCGUGCAGGCGGCUUGUUAAGUUUGGCGUGAAAGCUCCUGGCUAAACCGGGAGAGGUCGUCGGAGACUGGCAGGCUCGAGGGUGAUAGAGGCGGGUGGAAUUCCGGGUGUAGUGGUGAAAUGCGUAGAGAUCCGGAGGAACACCAGUGGCGAAGGCGACCCGCUGGGUCACACCUGACGCUGAGACGCGACAGCAUGGGGAGCGAACGGG
rnacentral:rRNA from 1 species